rnacentral:lncRNA from 10 species
GGCCAGGUCCCUGCCUGCCAGCCCCCUGCCCCCACCGCUACAGCCCGCCCCGGAUCUACGAGGCCCAGCCAGCCACCUCUGGACUCCUGAGACCGAAUUGCAAACUGCCCGGGCCUGGCCUUGAACUCCUGCUGUUUAGGGACCAAGUCCUGUGGCUCCCAGGGGGGCACAGUGAUCUCUCAAGCUGAGCUGGCCUCAGGGCCUCUGCACUGGCUGUUCCCUCUGCCUGGAACGCCCUUUCCCACAGCUGCUCCUCCCCUCCUUCAGGUUCCGGCAAGGCCUGUCCCCGGCGCCUAGAACAGGCCUGGCACCAGCAGACGCUUCAUAAAUGUUGGCUGAUUGAAGCAAAUGACCCAGGCUCACGGGAAACUCAGAAGCCGCUCCACGGCCUGGGCUGUCCCUCCCUAAGCCUGAGGGCCUGUCACCCUCUCCCAAAGCAGAAAAAGAAAAAAAUCCAAAAGUGCAGAAGAGAAGAACCAGCCCUCCAGGAAGGAAGAACGACUGUGCCUUCCCGCCCACCUCCCGCAGCUCAACCCUGUCCGGCACGCUUUGCAUAUGAUGUGGCUGUCAUCUUAUGUCUGGCCUGUGCUGUCACCCACCGGGAUGUCCACCCACAAGGGCAGGGCCUGGUCUAGGCUGUUCUUAACAGCCACGUGGGUCAGGGAAGCGUUCGUUGGCUUUGGGCCCAAGAGGUGGGGUGUGUCUGUUUGCGUGUGUGUGCAUAUAUGUGUGUCUGUGGGUGCAUGUUUGCAUGCAUGUGCAUGUAUGUGUGCGCAUGUACGUGUCUGUGUGCAUGUGCCUGCAUGCAUGUCUGGGGGUGCGUG